UACAGAGGUCCCGAGCGUUGUUCGGAUUCAUUGGGCGUAAAGGGUGCGUAGGCGGCGGGGCAAGUCUGAUGUGAAAUCCCGGGGCUCAACCCCGGAACUGCAUUGGAUACUGCCUUGCUCGAGUACUGGAGAGGAACUGGAAUUUACGGUGUAGCAGUGAAAUGCGUAGAGAUCGUAAGGAAGGCCAGUGGCGAAGGCGAGUUCCUGGACAGUUACUGACGCUGAGGCACGAAGGCCAGGGGAGCAAACGGG
rnacentral:rRNA from 1 species